CAAGCGUCUGGGAGUCGCUGCCAUCAGCCCCACUGAUGAGUCUAGGCAGUGAUUCCGAGACGAAACGCAAA
rnacentral:hammerhead_ribozyme from 17 species